CCCAGACUCCUACGGGAGGCAGCAGUGGGGGAUAUUGCACAAUGGGGGGAACCCUGAUGCAGCGACGCCGCGUGGGUGAAGGAGCGUUUCGGCGCGUAAAGCCCUAUCGGCAGGGAAGAAGGAGGACGGUACCUGACUAAGAAGCCCCGGCUAACUACGUGCCAGCAGCCGCGGUAAUACGUAGGGGGCAAGCGUUAUCCGGAUUUACUGGGUGUAAAGGGGGCGCAGACGGCAGCGCAAGCCAGGAGUGAAAGCCCGGGGCCCAACCCCGGGACUGCUCUUGGAACUGCGCGGCUGGAGUGCAGGAGGGGCAGGCGGAAUUCCUGGUGUAGCGGUGAAAUGCGUAGAUAUCAGGAGGAACACCGGUGGCGAAGGCGGCCUGCUGGACUGCGACUGACGUUGAGGCCCGAAAGCGUGAGGAGCAAACAGGAUUAGAUACCCCAGUAUAU
rnacentral:rRNA from 1 species